CAGCCGCCGCGGGAAUACGUAGGUGGCAAGCGUUGUCCGGAAUUAUUGGGCGUAAAGGGCUCGCAGGCGGUUUCUUAAGUCUGAUGUGAAAGCCCCCGGCUCAACCGGGGAGGGUCAUUGGAAACUGGGAAACUUGAGUGCAGAAGAGGAGAGUGGAAUUCCACGUGUAGCGGUGAAAUGCGUAGAGAUGUGGAGGAACACCAGUGGCGUAGGCGACUCUCUGGUCUGUAACUGACGCUGAGGAGCGAAAGCGUGGGGAGCGAACAGGAUUAGAGACCCCAGUAGUCCCUGUCUCUUAUAC
rnacentral:rRNA from 1 species